rnacentral:rRNA from 1 species
GGAUUCUAUCGUUGGUCGGGCUAUCCAGUCUGUACUAGCGUGUAGAAUUCCUACCUUCUGGGGAACCAUCAUGUUAUUAAUUUAGCGUGGUGGGAAACCAGGACCUUUACCUUGAAAAAAUUAGAGUGUUCAAAGCAGGCUUACGUCUGAAUACAUUAGCAUGGAAUAAUAAAAUAGGACGGUGGUCCUGUUUUGUUGGUUUCUGAAUCACCGUA